UGCAAGUUGAGGAUCCACUUGCAUGCCCUACCUGCCUAAGCUCCUUUACAAGAGAUCAAUAACGACAACCACCUUGUAAUGUAUCCUCUCAUUUCUCUCUAUCUUUCUCUCUCUCCUCAUUUACCUAGCUCGAAUCUCAUCUCCAAAGGCAACAAACAAGAGCAAAAAGAAGAGAAGAAAAAAGAAAACCCCUUCAUUUCAGCAACAAAACUAAUGCAACUUGUACUACAAAAAUAUUUAUACUAACCCACUCCUUACCUUGCCGUCUCCAACACCCUCUCAUAUAUAUGUUUUUGCUUAUUAUUCAACAUCAUCAACAAAUCACACACACACACAAACACAAAGUGAUAUAUAUCUCCGGAGAGAAGAAGAAACAAAGAGAUUCAUUUUUAGUUACUAUUAUUUUUAUUAUCACUUCACUCAUACUAAUAACAAUGCCUUCUUCUCUUCAGUUGGAUAGGUUCAAUCCUAUCACCGACGCCGUCACCACCGCCACCGUCGCCAUCGCCANNNNN
rnacentral:lncRNA from 1 species